UACAGAGGGUGCGAGCGUUGUCCGGAAUCACUGGGCGUAAAGGGCGCGUAGGUGGCCCGACAAGUCAAUGGUGAAAGUUCGACGCUUAACGUCGAAUCGGCCACUGAUACUGUUGGGCUGGAGCACUGUAGAGGCUCAUGGAAUUCCGGGUGUAGCGGUGGAAUGCGUAGAGAUCCGGAAGAACACCGGUGGCGAAGGCGGCCUGCUGGGUUCUGGCUGACACUGAGGCGCGACAGCGUGGGGAGCAAACAGG
rnacentral:rRNA from 1 species